AGAUUGAACGCUGGCGGCAGGCCUAACACAUGCAAGUCGAGCGGUAGAGAGGUGCUUGCACCUCUUGAGAGCGGCGGACGGGUGAGUAAUGCCUAGGAAUCUGCCUAGUGGUGGGGGAUAACGGUUCGGAAACGGACGCUAAUACCGCAUACGUCCUACGGGAGAAAGCGGGGGACCUUCGGGCCCGCGCCAUAGAUGAGCCUAGGUCGGAUUAGCUAGUUGGUGGAGGUAAGUGGCUCACCAAGGCGACGAUCCGUAACUGGUCUGAGAGGAUGAUCAGUCACACUAGGAACUGAGACACCGGUCCAGACUACCGUACGGGAGGCAGACAGGUAGGGAAUAUUGGAACAAGUAGGGACGAAAGCCUGAACUCCAGCCAUGCCGUCGUGUGGUAGAAGGAAGGUUCUUA
rnacentral:rRNA from 1 species